rnacentral:rRNA from 1 species
GAGGCAGCAGUGGGGAAUCUUGCACAAUGGGGGAAACCCUGAUGCAGCGACGCCGCGUGAGCGAUGAAGCCCUUCGGGGUGUAAAGCUCUUUCGGCAGGGAAGAUAGUGACGGUACCUGCAGAAGCAGCUGCGGCUAACUACGUGCCAGCAGCCGCGGUAAUACGUAGGCAGCGAGCGUUGUUCGGAGUUACUGGGCGUAAAGGGUGUGUAGGCGGUUGUUUAAGUUUGGUGUGAAAUCUCCCGGCUCAACUGGGAGGGUGCGCCGAAUACUGAGCGACUAGAGUGCGGGAGAGGAAAGUGGAAUUCCUGGUGUACGGUGAAAUGCGUAAUAUCAGGAGGAACACCGGUGGUGUAGACGGCUUUCUGGACCGUAACUGACGCUGAGACACGAAAGCGUGGGUAGCAAACAGGAUUAGAUACCCUGGUAGUCCACGCCCUAAACGAUGCAUAUUGGUGUGGGCCAGUUCAUUCUGUCCGUGCCGGACUAAACGCCGU